GAGGAAAGAGGGAGGCGUGCCUAAUACAUGCAAGUCGAGCGAACAGACGAGGAGCUUGCUCCUCUGACGUUAGCGGCGGACGGGUGAGUAACACGUGGAUAACCUACCUAUAAGACUGGGAUAACUUCGGGAAACCGGAGCUAAUACCGGAUAAUAUAUUGAACCGCAUGGUUCGAUAGUGAAAGACGGUUUUGCUGUCACUUAUAGAUGGAUCCGCGCCGCAUUAGCUAGUUGGUAAGGUAACGGCUUACCAAGGCAACGAUGCGUAGCCGACCUGAGAGGGUGAUCGGCCACACUGGAACUGAGACACGGUCCAGACUCCUACGGGAGGCAGCAGUAGGGAAUCUUCCGCAAUGGGCGAAAGCCUGACGGAGCAACGCCGCGUGAGUGAUGAAGGUCUUCGGAUCGUAAAACUCUGUUAUUAGGGAAGAACAAAUGUGUAAGUAACUAUGCACGUCUUGACGGUACCUAAUCAGAAAGCCACGGCUAACUACGUG
rnacentral:rRNA from 1 species